rnacentral:rRNA from 1 species
CUAAGCCAUGCGAGUCGAGAGGUGAAAGACCUCGGCAUACUGCUCAGUAACACGUGGUAUAAUCUGCCCUCAGGUGAGGAAUAAUCCCGGGAAACUGGGGCUAAUACCUCAUAGGAGACGGCUGCUGGAAUGCUCUGUCUCUGAAAGGUCUGCCGCCUGAGGAUGAGUCUGCGUCCGAUUAGGUUGUUGUUGGGGUAACGGCCCACCAAGCCUUUGAUCGGUGCGGGUUGUGGGAGCAAGAGCCCGGAGAUGGAUUCUGAGACAUGAAUCCAGGCCCUACGGGGCGCAGCAGGCGCGAAAACUUUACAAUGCGAGCAAUCGUGAUAAGGAAACCCUGAGUGCCUGUUAUCACAGGCUGUUCUGGUGUCUAACCCACACCAGGAGAAAGGGCGGGGCAAGACCGGUGCCAGCCGCCGCGGUAAUACCGGCUGCUCGAGUGAUAGCCACUUUUACUGGGCUUAAAGCGUUCGUAGCUU